rnacentral:snoRNA from 1 species
AAGAUCAUACUUUUAGGGAUCAGUUCUAAAGGUUGUUCUGCCGAGACGUCAGGUAACUCUGACAGGUCCGCAAACCGCGAGGACGAGACGUAGCCUCCCCUUCUGAGCGCGAAGCGGGUGGAGUGUCGUGGCUGGCUCUAGCUACGUCACUGCACCAUUGAUGACCGUUCCUCUCCUCCCUGUGUGGGGAGCUGGAGGAAGGGGCGGCAUUCUGAGCGGU